GCACUAUACGGCGAAACUGCGAACGGCUCAUUAUAUAAGUUAUCGUUUAUUUGAUAGCACCUUGCUACUUGGGUAACCCGUGGUAAUUCUAGAGCUAAUACAUGCUAAAAAUCCCGACUCCGGAAGGGAUGUGUUUAUUAGAUUCAAAACCAAUGCCCCCUGGGCUCACUGGUGAUUCAUGAUAACCGCUCGAAUCGCACGGCCUUGCGCUGGCGAUGGUUCAUUCAAAUUUCUUCCCUAUCAACUUUCGAUGUUUGGGUAGUGGCCAAACAUGGUUGCAACGGGUAACGGAGGGUUAGGGCUCGACCCCGGAGAAGGAGCCUGAGAGACGGCUACUACAUCCAAGGAAGGCAGCAGGCGCGCAAAUUACCCAAUCCCGACACGGGGAGGUAGUGACAAUAAAUACCGAUAUAGGGCUCUUUUGGGUCUUAUAAUUGGAAUGAGUACAAUUUAAAUCCCUUAACGAGGAACAAUUGGAGGGCAAGUCUGGUGCCAGCAGCCGCGGUAAUUCCAGCUCCAAUAGCGUAUAUUAAAGUUGUUGUGGUUAAAAAGCUCGUAGUUGAACCUUGGGCCUGGCUGGCCGGUCCGCCUCACCGCGUGCACUGGUCCGGCCGGGCCUUUCCCUCCGCGGAACCCCAUGCCCUUCGCUGGGCGUGGCGGGGAAACGGGACUUUUACUUUGAAAAAAUUAGAGUGCUCCAGGCAGGCCUAUGCUCGAAUACAUUAGCAUGGAAUAAUGAAAUAGGACGCGCGGUUCUAUUUUGUUGGUUUCUAGGACCGCCGUAAUGAUUGAUAGGGACAGUCGGGGGCGUCAGUAUUCAACCGUCAGAGGUGAAAUUCUUGGACCGGUUGAAGACUAACUACUGCGAAAGCAUUCGCCAAGGAUGUUUUCAUUAAUCAGGAACGAAAGCUAGGGGAUCGAAGACGAUCAGAUACCGUCGUAGUCUUAGCCAUAAACUAUGCCGACUAGGGAUCGGGCGAUGUAUAUUCUGUGACUCGCUCGGCACCUUCCGAGAAAUCAAAGUGCUUNGGC
rnacentral:rRNA from 1 species